rnacentral:rRNA from 1 species
AUUGAACGCUGGCGGCAGGCCUAACACACGCAAGUCGAGCGGGGUUUUCGGACCUAGCGGCGGACGGGUGAGUAAUGCGUAGGAAGCUGCCCGAUAGAGGGGGAUACCAGUUGGAAACGACUGUUAAUACCGCAUAAUGUCUACGGACCAAAGUGUGGGACCUUCGGGCCACAUGCUAUCGGAUGCGCCUACGUGGGAUUAGCUAGUUGGUGAGGUAAUGGCUCACCAAGGCGACGAUCUCUAGCUGGUUUGAGAGGAUGAUCAGCCACACUGGAACUGAGACACGGUCCAAACUCCUACGGGAGGCAGCAGUGGGGAAUAUUGGACAAUGGGCGCAAGCCUGAUCCAGCCAUGCCGCGUGUGUGAAGAAGGCCUUCGGGUUGUAAAGCACUUUCAGCGAGGAGGAAGGGGUGUGUGUUAAUAGUACACACCUUUGACGUUACUCGCAGAAGAAGCACCGGCUAACUCUGUGCCAGCAGCCGCCGCAGUA